UCAGAGCUUCUGGGAUGAAGAUGAUCUCCAGCAUCCUGCUGCUCCUCAUCCUCAGCUCAUGUCUCUGUGGUCAGUCUCCAUCUUGUCUUUGUGACAGAAAGCUCUCUAGAUGGAGCUGAAAGACUCCCAUGUUCCAGUUCUCAGUGUGUCUGCUCCUCUCUUUCCCUCUCUGUCUCCUCAGCAGCAACAUUUGUAGUGAAUGUGACACAGAGCAGCUAUCAGGCAGAGGAGAACCACAGCAUCACUCUGGAGUGGACCUUCACCACCAAGACUCAGGGAUCCUGGAGGAAACUGUUCAUUUACUGCAGCUUGUUGGCUCCUCACAAACCGCUAGUUCUCUAUCAGGUCCAUGAAGGUGUUGAGAUUCCAGAAUCUCAGGAUGAACAGUUUUCAGGACGAGUCCAGAGUGACAAAGACGUCCUCAGAGAAGGACGAAUCAGACUCCAUGUGUCCAGACUGAGGACUGAAGACUCUGGUCUGUAUCUGUGUGACGUGGAAACUGAAGACGGAUUCAACUCUGCAGAAUGUCGACUCAACGUUACUGCAGCUGCUGAUCAACUUCAACCUCCUACUGAGAAUCUACAACCAGACAGUCGAGGAAGGAUCGGUCUUUAUGUUUCACUGGGAUUGUUUGUGCUCAUUGUUAGUUAUUUUUUAUGUCAGUGUUAUAUUUUGAAAAACCAAGCUAGAUGAAAUCUGUUUUCAACCUAACAGAUGUUUAGUUUCUCUGAGAAAUGACGCCUGAACUCUGAAAACACUGAUAUGAAGGACUAGUAAUUAAAAAUAUAUGCAUUAAACUUUAUUUAUUAGCAGCUUAUUAUUAAAGCAAUAAUGUGGAAAUAAUAUUUCUGUGUAAACAGAUCUGUCAAGUUUGAUUUUAAAGAAAAUUUAAGUUUGAAUGUAGCCGUUAAAACUUUCCAUUGAAAUCUGCUGCUUGUUUUCUUUUUUGUUUUUAUUCUCUUUAUGUCUUAUGAAGUGUAAAUGUUGUUCAGAAAUGUGUAGAUUAUUAGCUGUAAAUAAAAGGCAACACUUUGUAAAUACGACAACAUAAAUAAAUAUGUAUUCUAUCAUUGUU